rnacentral:rRNA from 1 species
GUUGGCAGCUAGCUCUCUGCAACUCUCACAUGGUCGUCAACUAAAGCUAAGCAGGGCUGCGCCCGGUCAGUACCUGAAUGGGAGACCACAUGGGAAAGCUAGGUUGCUGCCGGAA